rnacentral:lncRNA from 1 species
UGAACCGCCUGCGCCUGCCUCGUUGUCAUCCACCACAUCAGCCGCCGCGGUUCCUUCAUCCUCUAGGGCGGAGAUCUCCAUCUUCCCAGACAACACAGAAAGAGCUUGUAUUUUGUUUUGUGAUGGGAGCGACGAGAUGUACGGGUAAUUUGAAAAGUAUGGAGAAUUUCGAUUAUUCGUGUUCUGUGUUUUUUUGCGAUGGAAUCAACAAGAUGUACGGGUAAUUUGAAAAGUAUGGUGAAUUUUGAUUAUUUCUUGUUCAAUUUUUUUUAUUUGAUUUUUCGGAGCCUUUCAAUUUUAAUUGAAUAUUUUUUUUUCAAUAAAUGGGAAUGCACUGUUUUUAAUAAUAAUUUAAUUUAAGUUUUAUAUGUUUAGUAUGUUUUAUAUGUUUAUUUCUCUUUCUAACUUUAUGUAGUGGGUUUGGAUAAGAUUGUAGUAAAUUUAAAAUUCUUGCUUUGUAAACUGAUUUUGUUUUGAAUGAAUUAAAUUUACACGUCGUUGGCAACAGGUAGGACGAGGUUGGGUGAUGCUCGGGUGACUCUACUAUUGUCUGCAAUGACAUUGUUUAUUAAAGGGAAUUUUUUUUGUGAAUUUAGGCAAGUUUUUUG